GACGAACGCUGGCGGCGUGCUUAACACAUGCAAGUCGAACGGAAAGGCCCUGCUUUUGUGGGGUGCUCGAGUGGCGAACGGGUGAGUAACACGUGAGUAACAUGCCCUUGACUUUGGGAUAACUUCAGGAAACUGGGGCUAAUACCGGAUAGGAGCUCCUGCUGCAUGGUGGGGGUUGGAAAGUUUCGGCGGUUGGGGAUGGACUCGAGGCUUAUCAGCUUGUUGGUGGGGUAGUGGCUUACCAAGGCUUUGAAGGAUAGCCGGCCUGAGAGGGUGACCGGCGACAUGGGUACUGAGAUACGGCCCAGUCGCCUACCGUCGGCAGCAGUGGGGAAUAUUGCAGAAUGGGCGGGAGUCUGAUGCAGCGACGCCGCGUGCGUGAUGACGGCCUUCGGGUUGUAAACCGCUUUCUCCUGUGACGAAGCGUGAGUGACGGUAAUGGGUAAAGAAGCACCGGCUAACUACGUG
rnacentral:rRNA from 1 species